GUACCCUCAAGCUUUGCUUGGUGUUGGGUGUCUGUCUUCUGCGCUUGCGCGGCAUAGACUCGCCUUAAAACAAUUGGCAGCCGGCAAAUUGGCCUGGAGCGCAGCACAUUUUGCGCCUCUUGUCACUGCUGUUGGCAUCCAUCAAGAUCUAUCUCAGC
rnacentral:misc_RNA from 1 species